rnacentral:rRNA from 1 species
AGAGUUUGAUCCUGGCUCAGGACGAACGCUGGCGGCGUGCCUUACCCAUGCAAGUCGGACGGUGGGGUGAAAGCCUCACAGUGGCAGACGGCUGAGUAACACGUGAGGACCUAUCCAGUUGAGGGGGAUAGCCGCUCGAAAGAGCGGGUAAUACCGCGUAAGCCAAGGGCACGUAAGGUGUCUUUGGGAAAGCGAGGGGGAGACUCUUCGCGCGACUGGAGGGACUCGCGGCCCAUCAGGUAGUAGGUGAGGUUACGGCUCACCUAGCCGAUGACGGGUAGCUGGUCUGAGAGGAUGGCCAGCCAGACUGGGACUGAGAGACGGCCCAGACUCCUACGGGGGGCAGCAGGGGGGGAUCUUGGUCAAUGGGGGAAACCCUGAACCAGCGACGCCGCGUGAGGGAAGAAGGUCUUUGGAUCGUAAACCUCUUUUGCCAGGGAAGAUGAUGACGGUACCUGGCGAAUAAGCCCCGGCUAACUACGUGCCAGCAGCCGCGAUAAUACGUAGGGGGCGAGCGUUGUCCGGAUUUACUGGGCGUAAAGAGCGCGUAGGCGGUCUGAAGAGUCGGCUGUGAAAUCUCUGGGCCCAACCCAGAGGGGUCGGCCGAGACCUUUGGACUUGAGGGUGGUAGAGGAAGGUGGAAUUCCGGGUGUAGUGGUGAAAUGCGUAGAGAUCCGGAGGAACACCAGUGGCGAAGGCGACUUUCUGGACGAUAACUGACGCUGAGGCGCGAAAGCGUGGGGAGCAAACAGGAUUAGAUACCCUGGUAGUCCACGCUGUAAACGAUGGAUACUAGGUGU